AGCGAGUUGGUGUAAUGGUAACACAUCGGGCUCAUAACCCGAAGUUCGUGGUUCAAGUCCACGGUUCGCUUCCA
rnacentral:tRNA from 1 species